UACGGAGGAUCCGAGCGUUAUCCGGAUUUAUUGGGUUUAAAGGGUGCGUAGGCGGUCCGUUAAGUCAGCGGUAAAAUUGCGGGGCUCAACCCCGGCCCGCCGUUGAAACUGGCUGGCUUGAGUUGGGGAAAGGCAGGCGGAAUGCGCGGUGUAGCGGUGAAAUGCAUAGAUAUCACGCAGAACUCCGAUUGCGAAGGCAGCCUGCUGGACUGUAACUGACGCUGAUGCUCGAAAGCGCGGGUAUCGAACAGG
rnacentral:rRNA from 1 species